GAAAAUGAAUUUUCAAUUACUACUGUAGCAUAGAUGAUUGCUGCCCCAUUUAUUUAAUGCUGGUACCACAACACACACACACACACACACACACACACACACCACAG